CGGAUCAGCAAGCUAGAUGGGCUGAGCCACUGUUCCAGCUAGUCUAGUCAUCUGCCUCUGCCUUUGGCCAACACUAGCUGCUGCAGAAGAAGGCACAAGAAACUCUUCAAUGGACGAUUUUUGGAAUAACCUGUUUUAAUUGCUAGGUUUCAUUUCUACCAUGAGGUGGCAGCAUUCCAACCCAAAAUUGAAAAGUUUGGAUGGUGAAUAGGGAGGAAGGGGGGCAGUGGCUAAAAGGAAGAAGGGUCAUCAGAUAGCAACCUCCAUCCAAGAUAAGCCACGGUGCUGGCCACAUCCUCCUCACCACAGUGAGGAAAAGGGGGAAAGCAGAAAUCCUUGGGCUGGUUGCUCAGUAGUCUGAAGGAAGAAUUGCAGAGGAAACCUCGCUAUCUGCCGCCCAGUUUACUGAGGGGCAGUGGAGCUGAGCGAGUGACGGUGUGACAUCAGGGACCAGUGUACAGGUGUCAGGCCAGAUGAGACACUUUGGCAGAGUUAACAGCAUCACUAGAACCUUAAUCUGAGUUGGGAACUGCAUCCCUCUCACUGCUUGGAGUGAGCUAGGGCAACAGCCGGAGUAGGGAAAACUUUGAGACUCCGUAACUCAGGACCUAGUAGUCCUGAAUUCCAUAGCCUAGACCUGCUCUGUGAAAAUCCUCUCUUCUGCCUGAUUCCUGCUACUUUCAGAUUCACAGAUUCUAACAAACCUCCCAGCACUUUUUGAUGUUUUAUGGAUUGCACUAGUGCUUCUCUCAAAAUGAUCCAAUUUUAUCAAACAAAAAAGAACUCUGCAGGAGGCCAGACUUUCUCAGGGAAGCAGACAUGAGAUCCAGACAUGAGAAUGGUCCAAGCACGUAUCUAGAAGGAAGACAUCCCUCCAAGUGCCCUACACAAAGUUCAGCUAACAUCACAUUGUCCACACAUACUUUACUGCUCUUUGCGGUAGUUGUGAAUGGGUGCUUGAGCAUAAUGGCAAGGAAAUACAUCAAGCAUUUCAGCUGACAGUCCACCAGCAGAGGAACAAAGGAUGCAGAAGGGGCUAUAUCAUGCUAAGGAAGAAUUUGACAUGGUGUCAGGAGCAAACUAAGAACAGAAACAGAAGGAAGAGAGCAACAAAGGUUGCUGGAUUCAUCAGCGUGCCACUCUUCAAUGCCCCAGAGAACUUCAGCCUGGAGAGUGAAACUGAAUAUUCAUGGUGAGAUUAUUGACUUCAAAAUUGACUCAGGAGCUGAUGUCACAGUCAUCUCAGAGGGACUUAAAAUCACCUUCAACCCCUCCCAGGGCUGAAGUCACCUGGCACAGCUCUGUCUAGCCCUGGAGGUAUUCUGAACUGCAUGGGCCAGUUCACCACAGAAAUAACUUAGACAAAAGCUCUGCAUUCAGAGGAUAUGUGAUCAAAGGACCACAGAUCAACAGCCUUAUCAGCCUCAAUGUGGCAGCCAUCAUGGGCCUAGUGAAAACAGUAGAAACACUCAAUGGAAUGUUUAGUGACAGUGGACUUCUGAAAGGAGAUCCAGUACAAAAAACUUUAAGAGACAACACUGAACCAUAUAGUGUACAUAGACCUGGCAGGAUUCCUAUCCCAUUACUGCAUAAAGUGGAAACUGAGUUGAGGAGAAUGGAGUGGACUGGCAUAAUCAACAAAAUCUGUGAGCCGACAGUAUAUUGUGCCCCAGUGUAGCCAGCUAUAAAGAAAAAUGGAAACAUACAAAUCUGUGUGGAUCUUAAAACACUUAAUGAAGCAAGAGAAAAAUAUAUCCUCCCAACAUUGGGUAACUUGCUCCCCAGAGAGAAAGGAGCUAUGAUAUUCUCCAAGCUGGAUGCCUCCAUGAGAUUCUGGUAAAUUUCUUUAGCCAAAGAAAAUGCUAGCAGCUGUAGUUUUCAUGAAUGAUAUUCUGAUAUAUGGAUCUUUGAUGGAAGAGCACCACUAAAUCCUCAGUGAAGUUCUAAGCCUAAUCAAUCAGUCUGGACUGAAGCUAAACAAAGAAAAAUGCAUUUUCCACCUACCCCAAAUUGAGUUUUUGGGACAGACAGACAGACAAAUGUAGAACCAUCUCUAGGCCUGAGAAAGUAAAGCAAUUAAACAAUUGAAUGCACCAAUUAAUAUAUAUGAACUGAGAUGUAGACUGGGCAUGUUAAAUUACCCUGGUCAAGACCUUUCCACAGUGACAAAACCACCGAGGAAAUUGUUAAAGUCCAACACAACUUGACUAUGGGGACCAAAUCAAAAAAUUGUUUUCAAAAAAGUAAAAUAAAUUUAUCUCCACGGCUCCAGUUCUCAACUAUGGUGACUUGUACAAGCCCACAAUGGUUAGUGCAGAUGCAAGCAGCUAUGGCCUAGGAGGUGUAUUGUUGCAAAAACAUGGCUCCGAGUGGAAGCUAGGUGCAUUUUGCUCUCACACACUUAGAGAAGCAAAAAAAACAAUAUGUGAAGAGUGCCUGGCAAGUGCAUGGGCAUGUGAGAACUUUUACAGAUAUAUGUGUGGAGUGGAAUCAUUUACACUGAUAACAGACCAUAAUCUACUUGCAACCUUCAUCAAUGGAAAAGUCUUGGGUCAAGCACCGCUGAUAUGUCAACAUCUAUUGAAGACAAGAGACUACUCCAGCUACAAAAAACAACCUUGGCAGACACACAACUUUAAGAAGUUAUAAAUUACCGUAGGGGUAGCUGGCCCAAGUAUCCAAAGGACGUAAGGUAGUGACGAGACGACCUUGUGAUGUGUGGACAAGUAAUAGUGUCAAAUGGACUCAUGAUUAAAGAUGAUUGCAUCAUAAAUAAAAUAUUAGGAGAUAUCCUAAAUCUCAUUCAUGAUAGACUAAAUGCCAUGAAUGGGCCACCAGUCAGCAUGGGGGCCAGGCAUCAGCAAGGACAUUAAGAAUAAGGUUUCUGCAUAUGAGCAUUGCAGAACUAAUACAACAGAAGAACCAACACAACAGAAGAACCUUUAAUAACAGCAUCUCUACCAGUCAGGCCUUGGAACAGACUAGCUGCUUGUCAUGGACUAUUUUCCAAAGUAUACAGAAAUAAUAUACUUGAAAGUCCAUAACAUGUUGCAUAGUUAACAAGAAACCAAAAUGCACUUUUGCUCACUUCAGUGUUCCAGAGCAACUAGUGAUGGAUAACAGACCACAAUUCACUGCAGCAGAAUUUGUCAUUUGAAUGAAAUAUGAUUUUGAUCCUAUUACUAGCAGCCCACACUUUCCACAAGUGAAUGGAGAGUCUGAGAGAGCUGUACAGACAACCAAGAAAAUUUUAUAGCAGGAAGAUCCAUUCCUUGUUCUUCUGAGUUAAAAAUCAAAACUGGUAGUGACUACUGGAUGUAGUUCAGCAUAACACCUGAUGGGAAGACAACACAGAACUAAUGUUCCAACUGUGGAACAGAACCUAUUUCCAAAGUGGCCAGACAUGAAGCGAGCAGCCAAAUCAGAUAAAAAGGCUGAAGGAGUUAUGAACAUUUGUACAACAGACAUCACUCAGUUAGAGAACUGCCAGGUCUAGAGCCUGGUGACCAUGUUCAUUUCAAAUUGGAUGGUGAAAGAAGAUGGACAACUUCAGCUGUUAUGAAAAAUAAUUCAGCACCCAGAUCAUAUGUGAUUUGAGACCAAUAGUGGAGAAUUCAAGAGAAACCGUGGACAUCUACAGUUUGUUCCUCUCAAAGAACACUCAACGGAGCAAACUCUAUGGAUGGCAGAUGCAGAAGACAACGACUCAGGGAUACCAAACCAACCACAACCAGUCAUUGCAACUAAUGAACAGCCAGAUAACCAAGUUGUCAUGCAUUCAGCUCAUGAAAUUAUGAACGAUUCAGAGACACUCAGACUGAUACGUACUGAACUUCAAAGACCGUGUGAUAGUGUAAAUGUCCAUAGGCAGGACAAGAGGUGGACAACCCGCAUCAGUGACUGGAUCCCCAGACACCACAAGCAACCACUGGGCAGACCAAAAACAUGCUUGACCGAUCCCAUGACAAAACUUUUUGGCCAGAAAUGGAAAGAAUGUGCUCGCAACAAAAUGGAACGGUGUGGUGUUCACUUGAGUUUGUGGAGGGAUGGAUGAAGACAAGCCAGACAAAGAGAGCAGCAAGUUCCAGGCAACAACAACGUAUUACUGAAUUAAGAAUCAUACAGAAGGGCAGAUUCUUGCAUACUCAACUGAAAGACCCUAUGACAGUGAAGCUGACAAAGUGCUUGGCCUUGUGUUGAGUGCUAGGAGUGCAUUGUGCCCUGAUAACCACUAUGUUUAAAGCUGUGUGAUCUUCAGCUGGCUUAUCUACAAAGGAUAAUGCCCAAAGCUUUUUGUUUCAGUGAGAUAAACUGGGCUGUUGAACCUUCCAAGUACAUCCAGGCAGAAUGUGUUGCUGUCAGUGGAACAAGGCUGCUCUCAACAACUGUUGUUGUGUACUUAGUGACCAGCACUGCACAAUACAUCCCUGCCUUGAGGAAGUGAUUACAUUCAAAACUGUGAUUGUUUUUUACAAUGUUAAUCGUACAGCAGCACCAGAUCAGGAGCAGUGAAGGAGUUAAUGGAAAAAAUGAGAGAAGCACAAGAUUUCAGCUGACUUGUCUAAAAUCAUGCAGUCAGUGAGUUGAUCAGUGUGACUCAACUUUUGUAGUUGCUGUUAAAGCCGCACAAUACAGUGGAACUGAUGUA